rnacentral:rRNA from 1 species
AGCGCGCGCAGGCGGUUUGUUAAGUCUGAUGUGAAAGCCCACGCCUCAACCGGGGAAGGGCAUUGGAAACUGGGGAGCUUGAGUGCCGUAGAGAAUGGCGGAAUUCCACGUGUAGCGGUGAAAUGCGUAGAGAUGUGAAGGAACACCAGUGGCGAAGGCGACCUCCUGGACUGAUACUGACACUGAGGCGCGAAAGCGUGGGGAGCAAACAGGAUUAGAUACCCUGGUAGUCCACGCCGUAAACGAUG